rnacentral:rRNA from 1 species
CUGCUGAAGGAGGAUUCGUCCAACGGAAGUAGAGGAAAGUGGCGGACGGGUGAGUAACGCGUGAGGAACCUGCCUUGAAGAGGGGGACAACAGUUGGAAACGACUGCUAAUACCGCAUGAAGCAUAGGGGUCGCAUGAUUCUUAUGCCAAAGAUUUAUCGCUUCAAGAUGGCCUCGCGUCUGAUUAGCUAGUUGGCGGGGUAACGGCCCACCAAGGCGACGAUCAGUAGCCGGACUGAGAGGUUGAACGGCCACAUUGGGACUGAGAUACGGCCCAGACUCCUACGGGAGGCAGCAGUGGGGAAUAUUGGGCAAUGGGCGCAAGCCUGACCCAGCAACGCCGCGUGAAGGAAGAAGGCUUUCGGGUUGUAAACUUCUUUUAAGAGGGAAGAGCAGAAGACGGUACCUCUAGAAUAAGCCACGGCUAACUACGUGCCAGCAGCCGCGGUAAUACGUAGGUGGCAAGCGUUGUCCGGAUUUACUGGGUGUAAAGGGCGUGCAGCCGGGUCUGCAAGUCAGAUGUGAAAUCCAUGGGCUCAACCCAUGAACUGCAUUUGAAACUGUAGAUCUUGAGUGUCGGAGGGGCAAUCGGAAUUCCUAGUGUAGCGGUGAAAUGCGUAGAUAUUAGGAGGAACACCAGUGGCGAAGGCGGAUUGCUGGACGAUAACUGACGGUGAGGCGCGAAAGUGUGGGGAGCAAACAGGAUUAGAUACCCUGGUAGUCCACACUGUAAACGAUGAAUACUAGGUGUGCGGGGACUGACCCCCUGCGUGCCGCAGUAAACACAAUAAGUAUUCCACCUGGGGAGUACGAUCGCA